AUGCUUGGCUCCACGGACGCCCCCGCCGAGCCGAAGCGUGCACGCCAUGCAGACGGCGGCGGCGGUGAUGCCGGCGAUGACCGGCUGAGCGCCCUGCCGGACGACCUCCUCCGCACCAUCCUGUCGCGCCUCAUGGCCCAGCAGACGGUGCAGACGUGCAUGCUCUCCACGCGGUGGCGGCACCUCUGGCGCGCCGUUAAGCACCAAUUGAUUCAUCUACGCUGGAUCGAGCACGACGUUAAGCACCAAUUGGGCAUUCUUGGCGCGCUGUCUAAUGUGACAACCUUGCACUUGUUGCAUUUUGCGGUCACGUUGUUGUUCAAUGAGAGUCAUGAGAAUCCUCCUCUAUUCAAGUUUGAGAACCUGACAACAUUGUUCCUAGAUGAGUGCCGAAUCAGCAACGACUUCCUCGGGCUGCAGCAAUACCUAGAGAACUCAUGUAACCUGCAGAAGCUCACUUUGCGCCAUUGCAAGGUCUUGGAUUUCCAUCCUACAAAUGAGGUGAUGGAACGCUGCCAGUCAUAUUCCAAGGACCUGCCACAUUUCAGGUGCAAGAACCUUAGGCUGUGUGAAAUCAUAUACCGAGACGGCGAUGCUUCUGUCCAUCUAUUGGUCAAGUUUUUUGUGGGCAUGUGGAGAAAUCUGCCAAACAACAAGAUCGAACUUACUCCUGUCAAGGAGGAGAAACAAAAGAGUGGCCGAACUCAAUGA
rnacentral:rRNA from 1 species